rnacentral:rRNA from 1 species
AACACAUUAAGCACUCCGCCUGGGGAGUACGGUCGCAGACUGAAACUCAAAGGAAUUGACGGGGACCCUGGAUAAGCAGUGGAGUAUGUGGUUUAAUUCGAAGCAACGCGAAGAACCUUACCAGGUCUUGACAUCCCUCUGACCGGUCUAGAGAUAGACCUUUCCUUCGGGACAGAGGAGACAGGUGGUGCAUGGUUGUCGUCAGCUCGUGUCGUGAGAUGUUGGGUUAAGUCCCGCAACGAGCGCAACCCUUGGAUUUAGUUGCCAGCACUUUGGGUGGGCACUCUAGAUCGACUGCCGGUGACAAACCGGAGGAAGGCGGGGAUGACGUCGAAUCAUCAUGCCCCUUAUGACCUGGGCUACACACGUACUACAAUGGCCGGUACAACGGGCUGCGAAGUCGCGAGACGGAGCCAAUCCUACCAAAGCCGGUCUCAGUUCGGAUUGCAGGCUGCAACUCGCCUGCAUGAAGUCGGAAUUGCUAGUAAUCGCGGAUCAGCAUGCCGCGGUGAAUACGUUCCCGGGUCUUGUACACACCGCCCGUCACACCACGAGAGUUUACAACACCCGAAGCCGGUGGGGUAACCCGCAAGGGAGCCAGCCGUCGAAGGUGGGGUAGAUGAUUGGGGUGAAGUCGUAACAAGGUAGCCGUAUCGGAAGGUGCGGCUGGAUCACCUCCUUU